rnacentral:rRNA from 1 species
AGAAUCAACGCUGGCGGCGUGCCUAACACAUGCAAGUCGAACGAGAAAGUGGAGCAAUCCAUGAGUAAAGUGGCGCACGGGUGAGUAACACGUGACUAACCUACCCUUGAGUGGGGAAUAAACCUCGGGAAACCGGGGCUAAUACCGCAUAACACCUACGGGUCAAAGGAGCAAUUCGCUUAAGGAGGGGGUCGCGGCAGAUUAGUUAGUUGGCGGGGUAAUGGCCCACCAAGACGGUGAUCUGUAUCC